CCCCUGUCAGGAUCGCACCUGGAAAGUUUCCAGUACUCUACUAGUCUCGGCUGCAGGAGGGAAAGUCAAGCAGAGGCCUACCCAUUCCAUUCUUAGCUUGGCCAGUGGAUAGUGAAUGGAAAGCAAUCUGCUACAAGU